UAUGAUCCAGAGUACCACGGGACACGUGAAACCCUGUGGGAAGCAGGAGGGACCACCCUCCAAGGCUAAAUACUACCUAGUGACCGAUAGCGUAUAGUACCGUGAGGGAAAGGUGAAAAGAACCCCGGGAGGGGAGUGAAAUAGAACCUGAAACCCUGCACUUACAAGCUGUGGAAGCACAUUUCUUGUGUGACCGCGUACUUUUUGUAGAACGGGCCAACGAGUUACGUUAAGUAGCAAGGUUAAGCACUUAAGGUGCGGAGCCGUAGCGAAAGCGAGUUUUAACUGAGCGUUCAGUUACUUGACGUAGACCCGAAACCGGGCGACCUACCCAUGAGCAGGAUGAAGCGAAAGUAAAAUUUCGUGGAGGUCCGAACCCACGAGCGUUGAAAAGCUCGGGGAUGACUUGUGGGUAGCGGUGAAAUUCCAAUCGAGCCCGGAGAUAGCUGGUUCUCCCCGAAAUAGCUUUAGGGCUAGCCUCAAGGUGAGAGAUACGGAGGUAGAGCACUGAAUGUCCUAGGGGGUAUUGCACCUACCGAAGACUAUCAAACUCCGAAUGCCGUCAUCUUAUACUUGGGAGUCAGACUGUGGGUGAUAAGAUUCAUAGUCGAAAGGGCAACAGCCCAGAUCGUCAGCUAAGGUCCCUAAAUGUAAGUUAAGUGGUAAAGGAUGUGGGAUUGCACAGACAACCAGGAUGUUGGCUUAGAAGCAGCCACUCAUUCAAAGAGUGCGUAAUAGCUCACUGGUCGAGUGAUCCUGCGCCGAAGAUUUCCGGGGCUAAAACUUACUACCGAAGCUACGGCAUCAGUAAUGAUGGGUAGGGGAGCUUCCCAUACGGGUUGAAGCAUGACCGUAAGGACAUGUGGACAGUAUGGGAGUGAGAAUGUUGGCAUGAGUAGCGAGAUGUGGGUGAGAAUCCCACAGGCCGUAAACCCAAGGUUUCCAGGGGAAGGUUCGUCCGCCCUGGGUUAGUCGGGACCUAAGCUGAGGCCGAAAGGCGUAGGUGAUGGACAACAGGUUGAUAUUCCUGUACUACCGAUAACCGUUUGAGAGAAGGGAUGACACAGUAGGAUAAGCUAAGCACACUGUUGGUUAUGUGUGCCCAAGCAUUGAGGCAGUCAAAGUAGGCAAAUCCGCUUUGAUAAUGCUGGGAUGUGAUGGGGAGCGAAAUUUAGUAGCGAAGUAGCUGAUUUCACACUGUCAAGAAAAGUCUCUAUCGAGGUUAAAGGUACCCGUACCGCAAACCGACACAGGUGGGUGAGGAGAGUAUCCUAAGGCCAGCGAGAGAACUGUUGUUAAGGAACUCGGCAAAAUGACCCCGUAACUUAGGGAUAAGGGGUGCCACCAUCAGGUGGCCGCAGAGAAUAGGCCCAAGCGACUGUUUACCAAAAACAUAGGUUUCUGCUAAGUCGCAAGACGAUGUAUAGGAGCUGACGCCUGCCCGGUGCUGGAAGGUUAAGGGGAUCUGUUAGAGCAAUCGAAGCAGUGAACUUAAGCCCCAGUAAACGGCGGCCGUAACUAUAACGGUCCUAAGGUAGCGAAAUUCCUUGUCGGGUAAGUUCCGACCCGCACGAAAGGCGUAACGAUUUGGGCACUGUCUCAACAACAGACUCGGUGAAAUUGUAAUUCCGGUGAAGAUGCCGGAUACCUGCGACAGGACGGAAAGACCCCAUGGAGCUUUACUGUAGCUUGACAUUGGGUCUUGGUACUACAUGUACAGGAUAGGUGGGAGGCUUUGAAACCAGGACGCCAGUUUUGGCGGAGCCAUCCUUGGGAUACCACCCUUGUAGUACUGGGACUCUAACCAUAGGCCAUGAAUCUGGUCUUGGGACACUGUCAGGUGGGCAGUUUGACUGGGGCGGUCGCCUCCCAAAAGGUAACGGAGGCGCUCAAAGGUUCUCUCAGUACGGUCGGAAAUCGUACGUAGAGUGUAAAGGCAAAAGAGAGCUUGAUUGCAAGACAUACAGGUCGAGCAAGGAUGAAAAUCGGACUUAGUGAUCCGGUGGUUCUGCG
rnacentral:rRNA from 1 species